GAUAAACGUUUGCGGCGUGCCUGAUGCAUGCAAGUCGAACGCCCCGAUUUUUCGCAAGAUUGAUCGGGGAGUGGCGAACGGCUGAGUAACGCGUAAGUAACCUACCCUUAAGUGGGGGAUAACUUGCCGAAAGGCAGGCUAAUACCGCAUGUUCUGGUAAGCGUUAGCUUAUCAGCAAAGCUUUUGCGCUUGAGGAGGGGCUUGCGUCUGAUUAGAUAGUUGGCAGGGUAAUGGCCUACCAAGUCGAUGAUCAGUAGCUGGUCUGAGAGGACAACCAGCCAGACGGGGACUGAGAUACGGCCCUGACUCCUACGGGAGGCAG
rnacentral:rRNA from 1 species